GAUGAACGCUGGCGGUAUGCUUAACACAUGCAAGUCGAACGGUCACUUCGGUGAUAGUGGCGGACGGGUGAGUAACGCGUGAGAAUCUGUCUUCAGGUCGGGGACAACAGUUAGAAAUGACUGCUAAUACCGGAUGUGCCUUUGGGUGAAAGAUUUAUUGCCUGAAAAAGAGCUCGCGUCAGAUUAGCUAGUAGGUGGUGUAAGAGACUACCUAGGCUCCGAUCUGUAGCUGGUCUGAGAGGAAGAUCAGCCACACUGGAACUGAGACACGGUCCAGACUCCUGCCGGAAGCAGCAGUUGGGAAUUUUCCGCAAGGGGCGAAAGCCUGACGGAGCAAUACCGCGUGAGAGACGAAGGCUUUUGGGUCGUUAACCUCUUUUCUCAAGGAAGAUGAUGACGGUACUUGAGGAAUAAGCAUCGGCUAACUCUGUG
rnacentral:rRNA from 1 species